UAGUUUUAUUUUUUUUAAACAUAUAUAUCUAUUAACGAAGUUGUCUGUCUACUAAAUGUUGUCACAAGCAAUAUUACAGUAAAAAACAAUUGGCGCGCUUUUUUUGCGGCGUGAGAGCGACUGCUGAAAAGUUUAGCCUGUUGCCUCGUGAAGUGACGUAAGAUUGACGUCACAUUGUCGCGGAAGAUUUGUUGUCACUCGCCAUCUUAGUUCAAGCUCAGUCUGGACAUAUUACAACCAAGUGAUUGUGCAGCAACUGGAACUGGAGAGAUGAUCUGUGAAUUCGGAUGAGCAAGGGGGAAACGUUACACGACCAUUCCAGGAGAUAAAAUCAAGAAUGAUUAAUCAUUGAGGAACACACCAAAUAAACCCUGGGCUGUGAAUUAUGUUAACGGAACUGGAAGUGAACAACAAAGAAAGGCGAUUCUGGCAUUCAAUAAUUACCCAAAAGUGUAUAAAUUUUCAAUUAUCUAAAAAUAUUAAAAUGUGAACACAAAUGUGUCUUGGAGUUCUUUGUUGAAUGGUGACGUCGCAUGACUGAAAGUUGAAGUAUACUAUAUGGACUUGAUUAGAGACCGACCAUUUAAUAUUCAAGGAGGUUGGGGACCUGGAACUUUUCUAUGGAGAUUACAUAUGUUUUCGGUCACAGCAGAUAAAAGCAGAUAUAUGAUUUUAUUUAAUUCUAUGAACCUGAAGAUAAGCAACUUGCAACUAGAUCUAUGUCCUUUUUUGUGGCAGACAUUUUUUUCACCAGUCUGAACCGUAAAUAUUUUUGUCAAGAAUUUUCGGUGACAUUAUAUUUUUUCGAUAAAAUUCCAGGACCCGACCCUCCCCAGAAAAUAUUAUAUGGUCAACCCCUUACAAUGUCUGUCAUUCUUAAUUUGUUUCCUGCAGUACUUGCCUAAAGGGCAAUGGUGUCUGACUUUGUUAUAGUCAUAUGUAUCUAGUUAACAGCUGAGUGGUGUUUUUACAUUUUGAACAUUGUCAGCAAAACACUACCUGUUAACUGGGCUA